CCUACGGGUGGCUGCAGUAACGAAUAUUCCACAAUGCGCGAAAGCGUGAUGGAGCGAUACCGCGUGCAGGACGAAGCCCCUCGGGGUGUAAACUGCUGUCAGGGUUUAACAACACAAUGAGUAGACCCAAAGGAAGAGGCGGCUAACUUGUGCCAGCAGCCGCGGUAAUACAGAGGCCUCGAGCGUUGAUCGGAGUUAUUGGGCUUAAAGGGUGCGUAGGCGGCGCUGUAAGUGCCUUGUGAANUCCCAUGGCCUAACCAUGGAACGGCUCGGCAGACUGCAGCGCUUGAGGUCGGUAGAGGUCGCUGGAACUCUAGGUGGAGCGGUGAAAUGCGUAGAUAUCUAGAGGAACGCCCAUGGUGAAGACAGGCGACUGGGCCGAUUCUGACGCUGAGGCACGAAAGCGUGGGUAGCGAACGGGAUUAGAUACCCUGGUANUC
rnacentral:rRNA from 1 species